GGAGAGCACAGAAAUCAGCAAUGAAAGAUAGUGCGCCUUUCCUGCAUGCCAGACUCUCUGCACCUAUUGCUGGGUGUUGUGCUUCUCAUCACAGGGCUGCCUGGAGCCAUGCUGAAAAAUCAGGGGCUGAAGCUGACGUAUCCAUGUGGUGUCAACUGAGGAGAACCAUGAGGUCCUCCAUUCCUUCCUGAGAGCCUUCCAGGCAGGAGGGCGCCCGCUUCACUGAGCCCCCAGGGACACGGAUGGGCCAGACUGUGUAUCCCUAACCUCGGAAUCCUCAGUACCAGCCAGCGGAGGCCAAAUCCGCAGGAGGCCCCCAGCCUCUUCUCUGUCCCACAAGCACCGCACACCCGUUCC